AAUCCAUGGUGAGGGCACCUUCUCAAAAGAUCCUUGUAUCUCUCCCGUGCAUCAUAGAGUGUUUCGAGAUACAUCUGCACAAAAGAGGAGAUAUCAUUUCUCAAUUU
rnacentral:snoRNA from 1 species